rnacentral:rRNA from 1 species
UAAGGGAGAUGAGAAAGGACAGUAUCCCUUGAAUAAGCCUCGGCGAACUACGUGCCAGCAGCCGCGGUAAAACGUAGGAGGCAGGCGUUAUCCGGAUUUAUUGGGCGUAAGCGCGUGCAGGCUGUUUGGAAAGUUGGAUGUGAAAGCUCCUGGCUUAACUGGGAGAGGUCGUUCAAAACUACCAAACUAGAGAAUGGGAGAGGGAAGUGGAAUUCCGGGUGUAGUGGUGAAAUGCGUAGAUAUCCGGAGGAACACCAGUGGCGAAAGCGGCUUCCUAGACCAUUUCUGACGCUUAGACGCGAAAGCUAGGGGAGCGAACGGGAUUAGAGACCCCGGUAGUCCUAGCUGUAAACGAUGUAGACUUGGCGUUGGCGGAGUUAAAUCUGCCAGUGCCGGAGCUAACGCGUUAAGUCUACCGCCUGGGGACUACGACCGCAAGGUUAAAACUCAAAGGAAUUGACGGGGACCCGCACAAGCAGCGGAGCGUGUGGUUUAAUUCGAUGCUACACGAAGAACCUUACCAGGGUUUGACAUGCAAGUGGUAGGAAACUGAAAGGGGACCGACCCUUCGGGGAGCUUGCACAGGUGCUGCAUGGCUGUCGUCAGCUCGUGUCGUGAGAUGUUCGGUUAAGUCCGCUAACGAGCGCAACCCUCACUGUGUGUUAUAUGUGUCACACGGGACUGCCGGUUUUAAGCCGGAGGAAGGUGGGGAUGACGUCAAGUCAGCAUGGCCUUUAUAUCCUGGGCUACACACACGCUACAAUGGUCGGUACAAUAGGUUGCCAAGCCGCGAGGCGGAGCCAAUCCAUAAAAGCCGGCCUCAGUUCAGAUUGUAGGCUGCAACUCGCCUGCAUGAAGAUGGAGUUGCUAGUAACCGCAGGUCAGCAAUACUGCGGUGAAUACGUUCCCGGGUCUUGUACACACCGCCCGUCACGUCAUGGAAGCUGGCAACACCUGAAGCCGGUAUCCUAACCGCAAGGAAGGAGCCGUCGAAGGUGGGGUCGGUGACUGGGACGAAGUCGUAACAAGGUAGGUGUACCGGAAGGUGCGGCUGGAUCACCUCCUUA